rnacentral:rRNA from 1 species
UGGGGAAUAUUGGACAAUGGGGGCAACCCUGAUCCAGCGAUGCCGCGUGUGCGAAGAAGGCCUGCGGGUUGUAAAGCACUUUGGUUGGGGAAGAAGGUUGGGCGUUGAAUAGAUGCCUGAAUUGACGUUACCCAAAGAACAAGCACCGGCUAACUCUGUGCCAGCAGCCGCGGUAAUACAGAGGGUGCGAGCGUUAAUCGGAAUUACUGGGCGUAAAGGGCGUGUAGGCGGGUCGUUAAGUUGGGGGUGAAAUCCCGAGGCUCAACCUCGGAACUGCCUUCAAAACUGGCGACCUGGACUCAAGCAGAGGCAAGUGGAAUUGCGAGUGUAGAGGUGAAAUUCGUAGAUAUUCGCAGGAACACCAGUGGCGAAGGCGACUUGCUGGGCUUGUAGUGACGCUGAGACGCGAAAGCGUGGGGAGCAAACAGGAUUAGAUACCCAGGUAGUCCCUGAGCGGGCUGGCAAGGCGCAU